rnacentral:lncRNA from 1 species
GGGAAGAGGCCGACUGGGGAGUUACUAUGAAGGAAUGGGCUGGGCUGAGGGGUCCUGACACUGCUGCUCAUCAUAGUCCUCCCUGUCCUUCAUAGAACCGGGGCCAGCAGAGAAACAAGAAGAUACAGUCCACCCAGCCCAGACACCCAGGGCCUGCUAUCUUGUGCUAGGGCCAGGCAUGGGGUGGCAGCUGGUGGCUGUGCAGCUAGGGCUACGGCUGCUGCUGUUGAUGCUGUCCCCGCAGACUCCCACCCAUGGGCUGAGAAGCCUGGCCACCCACACUCUACAAGCCCUCACCCCGCUCCUUUGAUCACUUAGGGUGGGCAGUCAAUAGAUGGGGGUAAUAUUA